AUGUUUCAAUUUUAUAGGAUCACUUCUAUAGUGGAUUCCCGGGUUUCUCCCCGAGUUUCUGGGAAUAUGUUCAACCACGAUGGGGAUUUUUAGUGUAACCCCUUGAGGGGAAGCGGCUCUCAAGCUUUGGUUUGAGAGAUUUGAUGACCCUUUGACUCGGUUUACCGUGUUGAGAGAAAUCAACCCGCUGAGUGGU